rnacentral:rRNA from 1 species
CUCGGAUCAGGUAGGGAUACCCGCUGAACUUAAGCAUAUCAAUAAGGCGGAAAGAA